CCUGACAUCACCUUCAAACCCGUGGACAUCACAGAGGGACAGACACUGACAGUGUGAAGCCAGAUGUCGUCCCUGCCUCAUACACCUUUGGUAGUUUCAUUCAGUACUGAGGAAAUACUUCAGUUGACACCUGAGCUGGAACACUAACUGGAGGUGUCUACACAUGGAGUGUUGGUGCUGCCACCUACCUGGACACAGGAGUGUAUGUGUGUAGAGUGGACGGACAACUCCGUCACAGACAGGAAUGAUGUGUUAGUACAGAGGAAGAGAGUCAGUGUCAAUGUUAGAGGUAGGUGUACUUUGUGUAUGAGUGAAGAUUGGACAACACCGUCACAGACAGGAAUGAUGUGUUAGUACAGAGGAAGAGAGUCAGUGUUAUAGGUAGGUGUACAUUGUGUAUGAGUGUAGAGUAGACAACACUGUCACAGACAGGAACGAUGUGUUAGUACAGAGGAAGAGAGUCAGUGUCAAUGUUAGAGGUAGGUGUAUUUUGUGUAUGAGUGUAGAGUAGACAACACUGUCACAGACAGGAAUGAUGUGUUAGUACAGAGGAAGAGAGUCAAUGUUAGAGCUCGUCCGAAGUUUACUGAAGAUUCCAAACAAAUAUUCGGUGCUGAAGUAGGAACAAACACAACAUUGGUUCAGAAUUUCUGCAACAGUGAGGUGAACUACACAUCAUACAACUGGACAUUUGGACCACUGGACACCCCGUCAACAGGUCAGGUUCAGUCAGGUCAAGGAAGGUGACACUGAGGAAGAACAACAAGGAGGUGCAACAUGCCGGCUUCAGUGUCUCUCUGGACAUCAAGAACUUCCAAGAACAGGACAUCGGAGUCUACACAGUCACUGUGUGUAAUGUAGUUGGCUGUAACUCAUCAGAGGUCAGCUUGACAGCAGCAGGUAGUUUAAAAAAACAAACGUUUGUCUUUUUAAAUUCAUUAUCAGCAAAAUUUGUACAUAUGUCAUUUUACAACAUAACAUAUCGGGUUUGAAUUUAGUUUCCUUGAAAUAAGUCAGAGGAGGUUUUCCGUUUUCAGGUCUACAUUUCUUGUUUGCAGAAUGGCAGAAGUGCGGCUCCACCCAACAAACACUUCCUUAUUGGUGAAAAUUGUCCGAAUGGCGGGUGCUAUCCUUUCCUCCAAGACCUGGUGUCAUCACUCUGUUAAGUGGCAACUUUCAAAUUUCACACAAGAAAUCUACACUUACAAGAAUACAGUGUGAUACAAAUAUAUACCAACUAUAGUUAAACACUUAACAAGUAUAUGAAAAUUGAACUAGGUUUGCAAAUCAGUACAAAUUACUGCAGUAUAAUGUAUUGGCAAAGCGCAUUAGAAUAACAGUUCAGCAUUCAGGAGAAUUUCAAUGGUUUUAUAAGAUGCAAUAGCAGUAAUAUUCACCUUGUAGUAACAGUAGUUAAGCUUCCAAAACGUGUCUUGGUUCUAUAUCUAGUGACAAGACACUGCAUUUUUUACAAGUGGUGGUUUCUCUUGAUUUAAUGAGAGAAGAGAGAUUAAUGCGGUGAUCAACAAGAUAAUGUAACUAAAAGCAUCAACAUGUCCAUAAUACUGCUUAUAUAAGUUACGUAAUUAGUAUAAGUGAGUAUUUUUCAAAUAUGAUGUCAUAAAGUUCCAUCGAAUCUCUUUUCAUUUCUGUUUCAUUUUUAUUGUAUAAAUUGUUUUCGUCACGAUAUGGCUGGGAUAUUGCCGAUGUGACGUUAAAUAUUGACUCACUCCACUCACUCUAUCAAAUCUUACGUGAAACAACGUAAUAGAAUUACCUCACUGUAAUGCAUUACAUCCCUAUUUAUAUAUCAUAUAUUUUGCAAUUUAGGCCCAGUGGGAACUGUUUCAGUGGAUAAUAGAAGCUGGUUAUCUUUCUGGUGUUGAAUUUGUAUCUUUCACUCAAAAUAAAGACUAUUGAUAAUGUCACUGGUCAGAAAUGUACACUGUGAUAUACAUUUACACAGACAGUGUAAAUAUUUUUGUAAAUCAAGCUUUUAUACAUAAUUGGAAAUUCC
rnacentral:lncRNA from 1 species